rnacentral:rRNA from 1 species
GACGAACGCUGGCGGCGUGCUUAACACAUGCAAGUCGAACGGAAAGGCCCUGCUUUUGUGGGGUGCUCGAGUGGCGAACGGGUGAGUAACACGUGAGUAACCUGCCCUUGACUUUGGGAUCACUUCAGGAAACUGGGGCUAAUACCGGAUAGGAGCUCCUGCUGCAUGGUGGGGGUUGGAAAGUUUCGGCGGUUGGGGAUGGACUCGCGGCUUAUCAGCUUGUUGGUGGGGUAGUGGCUUACCAAGGCUUUGACGGGUAGCCGGCCUGAGAGGUUGACCGGCCACAUUGGGACUGAGAUACGGCCCAGACUCCUACGGGAGGCAGCAGUGGGGAAUAUUGCACAAUGGGCGGAAGCCUGAUGCAGCAACGCCGCGUGCGGGAUGACGGCCUUCGGGUUGUAAACCGCUUUCGCCUGUGACGAAGCGUGAGUGACGGUAAUGGGUAAAGAAGCACCGGCUAACUACGUG